rnacentral:misc_RNA from 1 species
CAUAGAUCAAUUCAAAACACAAAUCACUCUGUAUCAACUCUCUCUUUCGCUUUCUAUCUUCACUACCAAUCAAUCUCUACAAGCUCCCAUUUCUUUAUACGCACGCUUACAGGCGUAAUUCUUCUAUAUUCUAACUUAUAGAGGAGGCUGUGGGGUAAGUAAAGAUGAGCGGUGGUGGGGUUAGGGUUUCAAUCCCGAGCAACGUCAGGAAGAUGAUCCAGAACAUUAAGGAGAUCACGGGCAAUCACAGUGAAGAGGAGAUUUAUGCAAUGCUUAAGGAUUGCUCUAUGGAUCCCAAUGAAACUGCUCAGAAGCUUCUUCUUCAGGAUCCAUUUCAUGAAGUCAAGAAGAAACGCGGAAGGAGAAAAGAGCAUAUGAACAGUAGAGAGUCUGGAGAUGCUCGUUGGAAACCUGGAAUGCAGGGGAGGGGUAGUAGGGGCGGACGGGUGAACUUUUCAGCUCGUCACACAUCACAUGAUGCUGGUGGUGGCAGGAAUUCUGGUCCUGCAAGGGACGGUGGAACCAACCAAGCUGCAGAGAAGGAAGAUGGCACUUCUUUGCCAGCCCCUCAAGAGAAAAGUAGGGAAACAAGUCUGUCAGUAAGCUCUGCUGCUGUUGUGGCCAAUGGUGCCACUGGUGAGCCUUCUGGAAGCAACAGUGAAAUUGAUGCUUCUGACUUACCUUCAGGAAGUGGCAUAAGUCAAAAUGAAGUGACUUCAUCACCAAUUGCUGUUAGUAAGUUUGGAAGUAAAAUGUCCCCUAUUGAUGCUGACAAAACCCUC